GACGAACCGUGCGAACGUUGUUCGGAAUCACUGGGCUUAAAGGGCGCGUAGGCGGGUGGUUAAGUCAGGGGUGAAAUCCUCCCGCUCAACGGGAGAACAGCUUUUGAUACUGGCCAUCUUGAGGGGGGUAGGGGCAUGUGGAACUUCCGGUGGAGCGGUGAAAUGCGUAGAUAUCGGAAGGAACGCCGGUGGCGAAAGCGACGUGCUGGACCCUUUCUGACGCUGAGGCGCGAAAGCCAGGGGAGCAAACGGG
rnacentral:rRNA from 2 species